UUUAUGUCCGAAUUGCUUUUUCACACGAUUCUCUCUCUUUCUCUCUCUAAUAACCUCUCAAUAUCUUCUCUCCCACUGUAGUUCUCUCUCUCUCUCUUGAGAGACUACCUUGUUGAGUUGGCCAUGGCUUGGAGAAAAAAGAAGAAGAUGAAAUUGUUAGAUGAAACGAUCACAGAUAAUGAAAGAAAAAGAACCAAGGAGAAGAAUGAGACAUUGGAACUACAGACUUGGUCCGAGCUACCGAUGGAAAUUUUGCAACUCAUUUUGUCCCAGUUGACUCUAGUUGACAAUAUCCGCGCCUCUAUGGUAUGCAAGUUUUGGCAUUCAACUGCCAUAUCUGUGAGGGUGGUUAAUCAAUCACCGUGGCUUAUGUACUUUCCAAAAUUUGGGAACUUGUAUGAGUUUUAUGAUCCAUCAAAGCGCAAGACUCAUUCCCUUGAGUUACCUGAGUUGAAUGGAUCUAGGGUCUGUUACACCAAAGAUGGUUGGCUGUUACUAUACAGGCCAAGAUCGCACCGUGUUUUCUUCUUUAACCCUUUCACUCGAAAGGUGAUAAAACUACCGAAAUUUGAGUUGACUUAUCAGAUUGUGGCAUUCUCAUGUGCACCAACAUCCUCCAGCUGCAUACUUUUCACAGUCAAGCACAUCAGUCCCACGAUUGUUGCUAUUAGUACUUGCCACGCUGGAGCAACGAAGUGGGUUACUGUUAACUAUCAAAAUCGGUUGCCCUUUGUCAGUAGCAUUUGGAAUAAGCUUGUUUUCUGCAAUGGACUCUUUUAUUGUCUGAGCCUCACCGGCUGGCUAGGGGUUUUUGAUCCCAUGGAACGCACUUGGAACGUUCUUGCUGUUCCUCCCCCCAAAUGCCCAGAGAACUUUUUUGCCAAAAAUUGGUGGAAAGGCAAGUUUAUGGCUGAGCAUAACGGGAACUUAUUAGUUAUUUAUACUUGUUCUAGUGAAAAUCCCAUUGUUUUUAAGCUUGAUCGAGCUGACAUGGUUUGGGAGGAGAUGCAAAAUCUCCAAGGUAUGACACUUUUCGUGAGUUUCUUAUCGUCCCAUUCUAGAAAUGAUCUCCUUGGUAUAUUGAGAAACAGCGUCUACUUCUCUAAAGUUCGGUUCUAUGGAAGGCGCUGCAUCUUGUACUCUCUCAAUGAUUGUAGAUACUACCCCCGUAAGCAAUGUUACGAUUGGGGAGAGCAAAACCCUUUCGAGAAUAUUUGGAUCGAACCACCAAAGGACUUCACAAGCUUCAGCUGAACAAUGCUUAUUGACUCAAGUAUGCCUAACUUGAUUUUAUAUGAUGCUGCCUUUUUUGAUGUUCAUAUCUUUCAUAUCAUGAUUUCCCAUUACAAGAAUGAUGCAGCACAAUGCAAGGUAAAUGGUCAAAGUUAGACUACUAGGUUAGUUCUUCAAAUCAAAGCAGAAGGAAGACUAGCACUUUAAUUGGGAGAAAAUAAAGGACAUGCAAAUACCUAAUAGCUUGGACCCUACUUUUGAGUUUUAACAAGAUCUCAAGAUAGUAUUAAGGGCAAGCAAAUACCCGAUUGCUAGGACUACUGGAAUGUUGUUAAAUGUGUUAUUAGAACAACUAAUGAUAAUGAUGCUCUCCACAUAAUUUUCCUUUAAUUUAUAUUUCUGUGAUUGGCUUUUUUCUAGGUUUCCAGGACUAUUUGAUGAUAAAUAAAAAAAAGUGAUUUUUAUCGUUGAUUUUAA